UUGGCAGUGGAGGUGAGGGUGUUUUGCUGGAGAUCUCUUCCUACCUGAGGGUUUCCAAAGUUUCUAUUCUGGGUAAUGAAGGAAAGCCUUUACACCUGACCAGCCCUGGGUUACUGCUAUUUGGGAAAGGGAAGCUCAGACUGCAGAUGUAGCUGUUUAAAUCUCGGACUGACAUGGAGAUAAGACUGUAUUUCUGCACUAUUACUAUACAUCCAAAUCUCUGUCUCGAUUUUUCUGAAUGGACAGCAGACAGGGAAAUGUCUACGUUUGCUGGAUAAAUAAAUUUGUCACCUCUGCUAGCAGCACAUUUCAGCCAAAUAAUUCAAUUUUGUCCUUCCAUACUAUCAUAGUUCAUAAUUUGUGCGUACACAGUCUCCUUGUGUUGAGUAAGUACACUUUUUUUGCGAACAUUAAGUAUAAAUAUCUUGUUCUAAAGUAGGAAUUUUUCAGAGAGUUCACAGAAUCACAGAAGGGCCUGGGUUCACAAAAGACCACGAUGCUCAUCCAGUUCCAACCCCCUGCUAUGUGCAGGGUCGCCAACCAGCAGACCAGGCUGCCCAGAGCCACAUCCAGCCUGGCCUUGAAUGCCUCCAGGGAUGGGGCAUCCACAACCUCCUUGGGCAACCUGUUCCAGUGCCUCACCACCCUCUGUGUGAAAAACUUCCUCGUAAUAGCUAACGUAAUCCUUCCCAGUCUCAGUUUAAAACUAUUCCCCCUUGUCCUAUCACUAUCCACCCUUGUGAACAGCCA